rnacentral:lncRNA from 1 species
CUUCUUCUGACUAGUGUUGCCUUCCUUCCGACUUCUGAACUUUAACUUAUGUUGGGGAUCUUUGUCGUAACCCUUCGCUCUCCGAGCGGGCUCCUGACUUCAACAACUUCUUAAAAAUAUAACACCUUCAUUCUCCAGGCGGGCUCCUGACUUCGCCAAUGACUUAAAAAUAUAACAACCUCCAUUCUCUAGGCGGGCUCCUAACUUCAACUAUAAUUCAAAAGAUAAUGCCUCCAUUCUCCAGGCGGGCUCCUGACUUCAACUACUUUUUAAACUAUAACACCUCCAUUCUCCAAGCGGGCUCCUGACUUCCACCAUUAUAACACAACACCUCCAUUCUCCAGGCGGGCUCCUGACUUCAACUAAUUCUUAAAAACAUAACACCUCCAUUCUCCAGGCGGGCUCCUGACUUCAAUAAACCUUAAAAUAUAACACCUCCAUUCUCCAGGCGGGCUCCUAACUUCAACUACUUCUUAAACUGUAACACCUCCAUUCUCCAGGCGGGCUCCUGACUUCAACUAUUUCUUAAAACAUAACACCUCCACUCUCCACGCGGGCUCCUGACUUCAACUACUUCUUAAACUGUAACACCUCCAUUCUCCAGGCCGGCUCCUGACUUCAACUAUUUCUUAAAACAUAACACCUCCAUUCUCCAGGCGGGCUCUUGACUUCAACUAUUUUAUAAAACAUAACACCUCCAUUCUCCAGGCGGGCUCCUGACUUCAACUACUUCUUAAACUAUAACACCUCCAUUCUCUAGGCGGGCUCCUGACUUCAACUACUUCUUAAAUAUAUAACACCUCCAUUCUCCAGGCAGGCUCCUGACUUCAACAACUUCUUAAAAAUAUAACACUUCCAUUCUCCAGGCGGCUCCUGACUUCAACUGCUUCUUAAAAAUAUAACACCUCCAUUCUCCAGGCGGUCUCCUGACUCCUUUAAC